rnacentral:ncRNA from 1 species
GAUCAAGUGCAAGAAGGGCAUUCGGUGGAUGCCUUGGCGCUAAGAGGCGAUGAAGGACGUGGUACGCUGCGAUAAGUCAUGGGGAGCCGCGAACAGGCUUUGAUCCGUGAAUUUCCGAAUGGGGAAACCCACCCGCAAGGGUAUCGUGCACUGAAUACAUAGGUGUACGAGGCGAACCCGGG